GUGGGUUGUGGCUCAGUGGUAGAGUGCUUGCCUAGCACGUGUGAGGCCCUGGGUUCGAUCCUCAGCACCACG
rnacentral:tRNA from 1 species